UACGAAGGGUGCAAGCGUUGUUCGGAAUUCUUGGGCGUAAAGGGUUCGUAGGUUGGAGAGUAAGUCGAGUGUGAAAUCCCUGAGCUUAACUCAGGACGUGCACCCGAAACUGCUUUUCUUGAAUGUUAGAGAGGGUCGUAGAAUUGCUGGUGUAGGAGUGAAAUCCGUAGAUAUCAGCAGGAAUACCAGAGGCGAAGGCGGCGACCUGGCUAAACAUUGACACUGAGGAACGAAAGCGUGGGGAGCAAACAGG
rnacentral:rRNA from 1 species